CUAGGAGAACCGAAAACAGUUCUAGACAGACCUGCGGUUUUAUAGCAGUUUUGGCAGUCAACUUCAGCUUGUGCCUGAGUAGACUGGCCGCGGUGGCCCGCCUGCGGGGGACGCCUGGCCGCCUUUCCUGGCUGCACGAAGUCCCUCUCUUAAUUAGAUCGAUUUCUUCCUGGUGCCAGGAAGAGGGGGUCCCUGCAGAAAGG
rfam:Tupaia belangeri cont1.076970, whole genome shotgun sequence.